rnacentral:lncRNA from 1 species
GGCGUGGAUAGUUAAUUUCUGGAAUGACUGAAGUAAAUAUAAUCAGCUCACUUUAAAAUGAAUUUUUUCAGUGUAAAGUAGCUCUUUGGAAAUUGAGAUGAAGUUUGAUCAGAAAGUAAGGCAGAAGGUAUGUGAAAUAGUAGAAACUGUAGAUGUGAGUAGAAAAAAGUGGGUGGCAAGGGAUAAGGAAGCAUCUAGGAGGUCCGCCCAGAAUUCUGAGAAAGAGACCAGACCAUAAUAAAACGGAACAUAGAGAAAGGAGGACCUCAGAGCACAAAAAAUGCAAUUUUAAUUUGAUUUCAAGGCAACCUGAGUGUUACUGCAACAUCGGAAAAAAGAACAAACUUGGUCUUACAAACAUAAAAAAAAGAUUCAAAACCAACCGAAAAGAGACCUGGUUCGCCCACAAACGAUUAAGGAACACUUCUACCUACAGCCCGCUGCCGAUCCACAGGCACUAUGAAAGCUUUUCUGCUGGAAUACUUUCGCCUGUCUGUUGCAGAAGAAACCAUCACUGCUUAAUAGGAAAGUAGUACUUCUGUUAUGGUUGAGUUUAAAAUGUGCUUUUUAGAGGCAUCAUCUCUCAGAGACCAACUCAUGCAUGUGUUCAGAGAGGGUCUUAAUUGGUGCAUGAUUUACUACAUGAAGCAAAACUUUGCUUGGACAGGCUGAAAGACUAUGGUGAGGAAGAGCCCUUUAUACAGUUUUAUAGGCCUGUCUUCUCACUGGGAACAUAUAUUUACUAAUUGUAUAAUUGGUGGCACAGUUCUUCCAUCAUAAACAUUGUUAUCAGUUAAUUAAACUUGAAAUGCAGCUUUGUUCCACAACAUGUUUUGUCAGAUUGUUUUCCUUAUUUAUUUAUCAUCAUAAAAUUUUACUUGGUGACUGGCAGCUUCUCAGCCCUCCAAUAAUAAUAUAAAUCAAAACAUAAGAUUUUAGUCUUCAUGCAAUUUCCUUUUGGUCUGAAAAUAUGAAACCAGAUGUUUUUGGCAU